rnacentral:rRNA from 1 species
CCUACGGGUGGCAGCAGUGAGGAAUAUUGGUCAAUGGGCGAGAGCCGGAACCAGCCAAGGCGCGUGAAGGAUGAAGGAGCUAUGGUGUGUAAACUUCUUUUAUAUGGGAAUAAAGUGAGGAACGUGUGCCGUUUUGUAUGUACCAUAUGAAUAAGCAUCGGCUAACUCCGUGCCAGCAGCCGCGGUAAUACGGAGGAUGCGAGCGUUAUCCGGAUUUCUUGGGGUUAAAGGGUGCGUAGGUGGGUAAGUAAGUCAGCGGUGUAAGUUUGUGGCUACACCAUAAAAUUGCCGUUGUAGCGGGUUGCCUUGCGUAUAUUUGAGGUCGGCGGACUGCGUGGUGUAGCGGUG